rnacentral:rRNA from 1 species
AUUGAACGCUGGCGGCAGGCCUAACACAUGCAAGUCGAGCGAGCGGCGGACGGGUGAGUAAUGUAUGGGGACUGCCCCCUUGAGGGGGAUAACUACUGGAAACGAUGGCUAAUACCGCAUACUCUCUGUUAUCCCCUAUGGGAUGAGCUGGUAGGUGAGGUAAUGGCGCACCUAGGCGAGGUUCCCUAGCUGGUCUGAGAGGAUGAUCAGCCACACUGGGACGGAGACACGGCCCAGCCUCCUACGGAGGAAGCAGUGGGGAAUAUUGCAAAAGGGGCGAAAUCCUGAUGCAGCCCUGCGGCGUGUAUGAAGAAGGCCCUAGGGUUGUAAAGUACUUUCAGUCGGGAGGCGGUACCGAAAGAAGAAGCAACGGCUAACUCCGUGCCAGCAGCCGCGGUAAUUC